rnacentral:rRNA from 1 species
UCUGCCUUAAGGAUUGGGACAACAGUGGGAAACCGCUGCUAAUACCAAAUAUGCCUUUUAGUGAAACGGGUAAAACCGCCUUAAGAUGAGCUCGCGUCUGAUUAGCUAGUAGGUGUGGUAAGAGCGCACCUAGGCGACGAUCAGUAGCUGGUCUGAGAGGACGACCAGCCACACUGGGACUGAGACACGGCCCAGACUCCUACGGGAGGCAGCAGUGAGGAAUUUUCCGCAAUGGGCGAAAGCCUGACGGAGCAAUACCGCGUGAGGGAGGAAGGUUCUUGGAUUGUAAACCUCUUUUCUCAGAGAAGAAUAAUGACGGUAUCUGAGGAAUAAGCAUCGGCUAACUCCGUGCCAGCAGCCGCGGUAAUACGGAGGAUGCAAGCGUUAUCCGGAAUGAUUGGGCGUAAAGGGUCUGUAGGUGGUUGUUCAAGUCUGCUGUUAAAGCGUCUGGCUUAACCAGAUAAAGGCGGUGGAAACUGAACGACUAGAGUGCGGUAGGGGUAGAGGGAAUUCCCAGUGUAGCGGUGAAAUGCGUAGAUAUUGGGAAGAACACCUGUGGCGAAAGCGCUCUACUGGACCGCGACUGACACUGAUGGACGAAAGCUAGGGGAGCGAAUGGGAUUAGAUACCCCAGUAGUCCUAGCCGUA